UGGCAAGUGUGUUUUUUUGUCGAGGGCCCGGCUGGGGCCAGUCCCAGACUGAUGGCAGCAUUAAUGUAGAACCCAAUAGUUUCUCUGAUAACAGAAUCAUGGACGGAAUCGUGAAAUUAUGAAUUUAAAAAAGCUAUCAGACAGAUUCCAU